UACGGAAGGUGCAAGCAUUAAUCGGAUUUAUUGGGCGUAAAGGGCGUGUAGGCGGACUGGUCAGUCAGAUGUGAAAUCCCGGGGCUCAACUCCGGAAUAGCACCUGAAACUGCCAGCCUUGAGGAUAGAAGGAGGAAGUAGAAUUCCACAUGUAGCGGUGAAAUGCGUAGAUAUGUGGAGGAAUACCCGUGGCGAAGGCGACUUCCUAUUUUAUUCCUGACGCUGAGGCGCGAAAGCUAGGGGAGCAAACAGG
rnacentral:rRNA from 1 species